CAUAGCAAUCUAAAUGCUCUGUGACACAUUUUAAACCGCUUAAUGGAUUCAUUUGAGACUUAAAGUAUGUGAAAGGUUGCUUGUCCCUCUCUCUUUUUUUCCCUUCCUGGUCUCUUGAACUUUAUUUGUCCUCUUCUACUCCCUCUGUUUUUUUUGUAUGUGGAGCAAGGCGUGGAGGGGUGGGGGUUAAAGAUCAUGAUGGAUUAGUGAGACAUAUUGCAACUGCAAGGGCUCCUUCUCUCGGGGCUAAUGCACCCAAAAUGGCCCGCUGGGUGUAAAGGAAAUGUCUCAUUUGAGCGUUUUGUCACUACAGUAAGGGCCAUUUGUUUAUCAUGUGUUUAGAAUCAGACACACUUAGAAAGUAGAAACUUCUAUAUCCAGGCUGGUGAGUGCCAGCAACAGGAAAGAAGGUGUGUGAAGAAACAAACACAAGUGUGCUCACUCACAACAGCAGAUUCAGCGCCCAAAGAUCAUUAUAACGAUCAUGGUUUUCCACAUGACUGUCCAUUCUUACCCAUGCUCUCUGGUUGCGCGGAGAGCAUGGAGAAGGCUGAGGCCAAAAUUCCACUCCUCUUUCGUUGGUGCAUCUUCUGGUCCAGGUCCCGAGGACAGAUCCGAAGACCCGUCUGCUGUUUAAGCUGAAAAGCCUCCUCACACGCUUUUCAUGUUGAAAGAGGUGCUUCAAUACUUAGACAUUCAACCAGCUCAGAAUUUCUGGAUUAGCAUCCAUCCAUCCAUCCAUUUCUGGGUCAGCUGCCAUGGUGUGAGAGGCGGGGUACACCCUGGACUGGUUACCAGUCUGGCACAGGACAGACAACCAUUCACGCUCACAUUCACAUCAAGAGCCUAGAGUGAACACACGCAGAUGGAGUGAGAGCAUGCAGACUUCACACAGAAAGGUCCCAGCCUCAAUUCAAACCCAGGAGUUUCUUAAUGUGAGGUGACAGUGCUAACCACCACAUCACUUGUACCACGUUCAAAAUGAUUAAACUUCUAAUAAAAGCUCCACUAAGAUUACCAGAAAUCGUCAAUCACUCACAGUUUACACAGCGUCAUUGCCACAGGCUAAAGACUGUGCUAAAGAAAAAUUUUGCCUGCUGACUGGCUAGGUUGCACUCCCAGGCUUGUUGGUGCACUGCGUGUGAAUUCCCUGUCAAAGCCACGAAAGUUGCAGAAUAAGGUUUGGGGAAAAAAUAUUGUAUUGUUUAUUUGUAAUGUAUACAUGACAAACUGUUCAAUAAGCUACAUUUUUCAGACAUAGUUUGGAGAAAUAUUUGCCUACACUAAGGUUAAGAUAUGAUAAAAUAUUGGACAGUCCAUGGUUCUCUGUCUCGGUUUUUGGCCAGCUUUUGCCUUUCAGUUUGACGCAUUGUGAAAUAAAAUUUAUUUCAUUAUGAUCAGGAGGUACUUUGGUACUUAUAGCCCUUUAUAAUUGUGGCUUUGAAACAAGUCAAGGUACAGUAAACCUCGGAUAAAUGUUAGUUUUAUAUGUAUACACUGAGCAUGUUUACCUUGAACUGAAUUCAAGGUAAACUGAAUUCAAGUCAAUUCUUUUGAAGGCUUGGUCUGAGCUAUAAUGCUAUAAAGACCAGUAUUAAAUACAGUUUCCCUUCUGUCUGAAAGGCCUAGUGCAAUUUCACUAUAAAGUGCUGUUAAAAGUUAUUUUCCCCCCUACCUGUUUUUUUUGGGGGGGGGGUUUUUUGGUUUUUUGUUUAGUAUUUUGCAUAUUUGCCACAAUUGCAUGUUUUAUGUUAUCAACAAAUGUUAAUAUUACACAAAGAGCAAAUACAAAUAUACUGUGUGAAAAGUAAUUGACCACUAUUGUAUUGAACCCCGAUCCUUUUUUCCCCAUGACAGAACAGAGAAAACCGACUCAUAGUGUGUUAAAACAUUGAUAUUUCUUUUUAUUCAAUCAUCUUCCAGAAGAGAGAGACCCCUGCACAACUCAAACGCCAGUUGCAAGAGCUCUAACAUUAGAAUCAUAAGUUGUGUCUCAUAUAGGUGUUAUUUUGGUACUUUACACGUCACACAGGCUCGAACAUUGCUUAUAGGGAAAGUUCCUCUUUUCUGUGUCCUAUCUAUUAAUAGGCCUGUGCACUAAAACUUCCUGUUUUUCAGUCUGGCUGAGCACUUAUUUGUGAGUCAAAGGUGGCCUUGCUCUACAAGCCUUCAUUAUUAAAGUACAUAAAACAAUAUAAUAGGAAAAUAAGGAUACUAAGGAUAUUGAUUUCCUGACAAUUGUUAAAUCAUGAAUUUACUGGUAACUAAUUAACUCACAUUUUUGGAAAACAGUUCAGUUUCCCUUGCCACACUCAUGCCUGAUAUCUGCCAGACCUGUUGGAUCAAGAAAUGACUUAAAUAGAACCUGUCUGACAAAGUGAAGAAGGGUAAAAGAUGUUAAAAAAGCAACACAUCAUAUCACAAUCUAAAGAAACAAAUUCAUUGACAUCUGUCAGUCUGGAAAGAGUUAUAAAGUCAUUCCUAAGCAGAGAUGGGCAGUAACGCGUUACUGUAAUCCGAUUACUUUUUUCAAGUAACGAGUAAUAUGAGGGAUUACCAUUGCAAAAACGGUAAUUAGAUUACCAUUACUUUCCCGUAGGAACGCUGCAUUACUGCGUUACUAAAACCGUGAGUUUUUUGCGAGAAUGUCUCAUGAUAGUGACAACAGCUGUCUGCAGAUCAACAAUGGAUAAUAUAUCAAGUGCGGGAGAGAGUAUGAGCGUGCAGCGUUUAAAGCGUGGAAGUACUGACCUUACUUUGAGUUUGAUUCCAUAAAAAGUGACAAAAACAUUAGCGUCCGUUGUGCGUGGGAAGAAAACUUCUUUUUACAGCGAAAAAAGCCCCCUUAACUUCCAAGCAAGCGCCGAGUGCGCUACGACUGUAAUGGGAAAUUCACAGAGAAACUCGCGGAUUCUUCCACUGACCGCUGCGGCACACCUGCACCAGGGUAAACCUCCGCCUACCCCAGUCCUGCUUUACAGGUGAAAAUAGAGCAACUAGCCUUUGACUUUAUUUAUUUUCUGCUUUGUUUUACUUGCAUCUAUUUGAAAGAGUGAGUGUAAACACAAAAAAAUAUUUUAUUUUAUGUGCUGAU
rnacentral:lncRNA from 1 species